GAUGAACGCUGGCGGCGUGCCUAAUACAUGCAAGUCGAGCGAACAGACGAGGAGCUUUCUCCUCUGACUUUAUCGGCGGACGGGUGCUUCACACGUGUUUAACCUACCUAUCAGACUGGGAUAACUUCGGGAAACCGUAGCUAAUACCGGAUAAUAUAUUGACCCUCAUGGUUCACUAGUUAAAGACGGUUUUUCUUUCACUUAUAGCUUGAUCCGCCCCGCAUUAGCUAGUUGGUAAGGUAACUGCUUACCAAGGCAACGAUGCGUAGACGACCUGAGCGGGAGAUCGGCCACACGGGAACUGAGACGCGGCCCAGACUCCGACGGGAGGAAGCAGUAGGGAAUCUUACGCAAUGGGCGAAAGCCUGACGGAGCAAAGCGGCGUGAGGGAUGAAGGUGUAAGGAUCGUAAAACGAUGUUAUUAGGGAAGAACAAAUGUGUAAGUAACUAGGAAGGUCAUGACGGUACCGAAUCAGAAAGCUACGGCUAACUACGUG
rnacentral:rRNA from 1 species